GGAAAUUUAAAUAUUUUAUAUGUAUUUUUUAAAUUAGCAACCGACUUUUUAGUUGCUAAAUUAAUUACAAAUGGCAGUGAAUGUAAAAAAUGAUUACAAAAUUACAAAAUUAAAAGCACUAAAUUUUUUUUCAACCAAGUAUAUUUCAAUUGUAAUAAGCAACUAAUUUACGUUGCUAAAUCGAUUACUACUAACAACCAAUAGUUUUUUACUAAAAGUUUUUUUUUUAAGUUUAAUUAAUUUAGCAACGGAUUUGAUUAUCGAUUGCUAUUUGCAAUCGAUUUGAUUAUCUACUAUUAUUUAUAACUAGGCUUAUUGUAACAAAUUGAAUCGGUUGUUAAAUCGAUUAACAACUGAUUUUAAUGGAUUAAUAACCAAUUCGGUCGUUGCUAUUUUUUUUUUUUCUAGUGGUAUAUGCAUUUUCACAAUUCUACUUCCCAGUAAACCUAUUUGACAUGCUUUAUAUACUCUUAGCGAAACUUUCACUAUGCUUAAACAUGAAGAGUAUAAUUAUUUCCUAUUUUCAUCAAUUGCCAUUACCACAAUCCACCGCUAUAACUUAGUCUAUGAGAGAAACAUAUACACUAGUAAGCUAUGGUCUCCAGGUAAUUAAAGUAAUGGGAGAAAAAGGGCAGGCAGAGGCAGGACUUGUGGAUUUAUACAUUUGCUGAUUGGCGAACCUUUUUCAAUCCUUAUUAAUAUUUACGAGUUCUAGGAUGAAAAUAAGUUGCGUUGUCUCUUCUUCUCAGGAGUAGCAUGUACCUGUGCUUUCAUUCCAUAUUCCUUCAGUUGAAAGUUCACAAAUGCUUCAGACACUGCUUCCACCAGCUCCGCCUUCUUAGCGUAAACCCUCACUAUCUUAUCUUGGUAAAAAGAAGGCAGCAAGUGGCUGAUGAGAUGAUCUGGGAUUGAGAAUUUAUCCUCGCUCUCAUAAUCCUGAAAAUUCAUGAGCUAUUAAAAAUCUUUAGGUAGAACAAAAUGGAAUUUUCACAUAAGCAUUAAAUCUUUCAGCUGUUAAAUUUCUGUUAUUAUGAUAUUAACUACCAGAAUGCUGCAAUCAAAAUAAUUGAAACUCGAGUUACCCAAAUAUAUUUUUUAUAUCAUUCACUAUGAAUUCAAGUUGAAAUUCACUGCCAAGCCAAUCCUUUGCUUUGGAAAAGAGACCAAGGACAACAAAAAUUCAAAACAAGAGCAGUGAAAGGGAUCUUAGUACCUUGAAAAAUUUGACGCUGUAUACGAAGAUACAUGCAUGAAGAAAAGAUAAUUGUCAAGUUAAAAAUUGCAGAAGCUAAGUGAACACAAACAAUGACGAGUCUUUCCCAUAUACCUUUCAAGAGGAUUAUUCCUUCCACGUGUCAAAUCAAUCUUAGCAAUGCUCACAGCAACAUCUUCCUCUUUUAGUGUAAUGUGACCAGUUUUCUGGUUAUAAAAUUACUCUUUUGAGACGAUGCUUCUAAUAGACAUGGGCUUGGUUUGGGUUUGGACUGGAACUGAAACCAGACUACAACCAGAUCAAACCAGGAUUUGACUAGAAACAUUUUGAAUCGGAUCGAAACUGGACCGAACCCAGGACCGGAAUUGAGGAGUACCUUUUGGUUCGGUCCAGGUCUCCAACCCAUCAAACCGGAACUGCUUGUCCAAUUCUGGCCUAGAACCGGAACUGCUGGUCCAGUUCUAGCCUAGAACCAGAACCGCGCCCAUGUCUGAUUUCUACUUCUAUGAGGAAGAAAUACUAAUAUGGGAUCUUUUUGGGACCUGGGAGCAAACAAUGUCCUGUGGUGUAAUGUCUUUGAAGUGCUCUAGUUGGUCCUUUGGAACAGAGAACUCAUUGCAGAACUGGUAUAGUUCCCUUCUCCUAAUUCGCUGAACCAAAUCUCUUGCUUCCUUGAGCUCCUCGCUGGAACUAGUUUCGAUAUGUUUCAAUAUAGAGUCAUCUAUCUGCACUUUUUUUAAGGAUAACAUCAGGUCCGACAAAAUACAAAACUCUAAACAAAGUAAAAUUUAAUAAAUGUUUAUGCUAAAAACCUUCCAAAAAUCAUCUGGAUUAUCAAUUUUGUCUGUAAUCUGAAGAUAACCAUUUGCUCUAGUCAAAGCAUCAACAACCAUGAGUUCUAUUGCCUGAUAAAAGAAGUCAAACCCAUUGCAUUUCACCAUUUGGAUGAUGAAAAUGGACUUCUAUUGGCUGAAAAAAGAAUGGCAAACAUAUUGAACCUUCACUUUUGCAUGUGUAUAGACUGUUCGAUGCAUAUCAGCACGUGUUGCAAAUAAUUUGUGGACUGUGAGAUAAUCCUUGGCUCGGUAGCAUAUCUCAUCCUCUAUAACAUGCAUGGUAUCCAUUAACCUCUCAAACUGAAAACUGCAUCCCAGUCCACAAGCACGGGAGUCACGAACAAGGUAAUCAAACCUGAAAAUUAUCAAUGUGUAUUGUCAAAACCUGCAUUAAAAUAAUCCUAAAUAAACAAAUUCAUUAAAAAGAAAACGAAUAGGCAAAAAAAGAAAGACCAACUAACUUGUCAACAUCUAUCCCAUUUCGACCAUUCGCAACAAUAUCAUAUAGGAAUUGCUUUUCAUUCGCAGUCUAUACAGGAAGAGAAUUUUAAUGUAGGCAAAUAGCAUAGUUAGAUAUUUGAGAAAACAAAAAGAGAUGCGAACAAGAAACUGACAAAUUUUACGGUAAAAUGGCUUUACUCUUGGAGAAGCAUGUUCAGUGCUAGCAAUGACCAUCUCCUUUGCUUUCUUUAGAUAUUCACGAUCAAUGUCAAUAUUGUGCUUGUCUACAAUAUAGUCUAUCAUUCUUAUAGACAUGUCCUCAUGAGACCAGUUAAGGCCAUUAAGAACCCGAGGCAGAAACUCUCGUUCAAACAAGUGGCUGAAUGGCCCAUGUCCAACAUCAUGCAAUAGUCCUGCAAGUUUCACUGUUUUUAUAUCGAAGUUAUUAAUAUCAAGCUCCAAGCCUUGGUGAGCUUUAAUUCUGUGAACUGCUUCACCAGCCAGCCAAUAAACACCUAAUGAGUGCUCAAACCGAGAAUGUACAGCUCCUGGGUAAACCAUGUCUACAAGACCUGCAUACAAAUAUAUUUGGUUCAGUAAUUAGAAUUCGGUCCAUGACAUACCUUUAUACAGCAUAAAGACAUUAAUUUCUUGUCAGAGAACAAGUCAUAGAUGCUCUCAGUGCUUAAUCAUUGACAACUUAAAUCCACUUAAGUUAUAUUAUUUGCAGGCAAGGAAAAAAAAUAAAUAUUUUUUUUGUCCAAUUAUAGGUUUGUAACUAAUAAGGAUUCAACCACAGUGGAGAUCAAUGAUUCAAUAUAGAAAUUAUUUGAGCUUGAUAUUAAAUGUAGCAGACACAGUAAAGACAACCUAGAUUCCAUCAUAUAAUCAAAAGCUUAAAAAGGUAUAAAAUUUCAUGGAUGCAAAUGCUUAAGGUUACACUUCCAUAGCUGAUUGCAAAAUGAUUGAAGUGUCCUUUUCUAGAAUGCAGUUAUUUCUACUAUUUUAAUACCAGUAAAGAGUAAAGACAAUGUGACAAAGUACUAACCUGUAGCUGAUCUCAAUUAGUUUGGGAUUAAGUCUUAAUUGUUGUUGGUGACACUGAAAUUAUCAAAAUUCUAGAAUUUUUCUUAAUAAAUUAAUCUAGAAUAGAUCAAUGCUCACCUAGUUGCUUUAGAUCACGAAGUCUGCAACAUUUAAUAAACUUAUCAGAUGAUUUAAACAAUAACUAGGUAGAGAAUCUUCAUGAGAAAUGGUUACAAAAUCAGACUUAC
rnacentral:misc_RNA from 1 species